UACGAACCGUGCGAACGUUAUUCGGAAUCACUGGGCUUAAAGGGCGCGUAGGCGGGCUCGCAGGUCAGGGGUGAAAGCCCACGGCUCAACCGUGGAAGUGCCUUUGAUACCGUGAGUCUCGAGGGAGGUAGGGGCGUGCGGAACUUCCGGUGGAGCGGUGAAAUGCGUAGAUAUCGGAAGGAACAUCGGUGGCGAAAGCGGCGCGCUGGACCUCUUCUGACGCUGAGGCGUGAAAGCCAGGGGAGCAAACGGG
rnacentral:rRNA from 1 species